UGGCAUUAGGAUCAUGUUUGGCCACUUUUCAUGUUUCCACAGGGACAUUUAUUGCUGACGGACACAGCCACUCAGCAACAAAUGUCCAACUUCCUUCCUUCCUUCCUACUGAGCCACACUGAAUAGUUGAAAAGAUGCCCAAAGUUUGGCCUCUCUUGAAAAAAAAAAAGAGUUGAAUGGAUUUACUACAAAGCGGAUUGGGAGGAGUUUCAAGUCAGCAACAUGCGGGUGUGAACACGUGAAGAGACCUGCUGCUUGAGCCACACGUUUCCACGGGAUUUCCUUCACGUGCCUUUGUCGCCGGCUUGCAUCGCUUCGUCAGCGGGACACUGCCACCUGGAACUCUCCGUUCAGGAGUCAAAGAGCAAGGACGCGCUGUUUGCCGGUGGCGGCCGCAGAAGAGGCCCUAAUGAGAUGUCUAUCGCCUCCGUCUAGACUGGACUGCACCCCCACCCCCACCCCCACACACAGCCCACAAGCACCAGUGCACCACCAGGCAAUGUAUUACACACUGUUCCCUGUCUCCAGCCCAGGGAAUAGUAAGUGAGUUUGUGUGUGUGUGUGUGUGUGUGUGUGUGUGUGUGUGUGUGUGUGUGUGUGUGUGUGGCAUGACCAACGUGUCUGGCAGGCAGGGGAGCUGCACUUGGCAAUAGAUUUGGGCUUUUUUUUUUUUUUUUUUGCAUGCUUGUUUGUGCGCAUAUGUUGACAGUGUGUGUUGGAAAUGGCACGAUUUGGGGGCGGGCCGCCGGGUCGGCGACGCGAUGCGACACCGUGAUGGAUGCCUUGGCACGCACCCCUCAUCGUCCCUCAUCCCAAACUCUGAUUGCCUAUUCGGACUCCCCCCCCCCCCCCCCCCCCGGAAAAAAAUAGGAAGGAUAAUGCCCUCUAAAUCAAACUAUCCUUGUUAUCAAAGCCAAGCCUGCAGUCUCUUCCAGCUAGGCACUCCCACAGUAGCGCUCCACCAGAGGGACCAACACCAGGGGGGCCUUCGUGACUCCGCCGAGUCCUCUCCUUUGGCAAUGGCAACAUUUCUUUCGCACUUUUUUUUUUUUUUAGCUCUUAACUGUUCGAAUAUCCUCUCCAGGCUUUUUGUGGAUUUAGCAUGUUGGGCUUUAUCAAGACUCUUUAAUGCAUUUGCAAAACAUUUUAAUAACAUUUUAAAACAUGCCAUUUUGAUAGCUUGGCACCACAAACAACUGUUCGCAAAACAAUAUUCUUCAGUUUUUUCCUUGCUUAGCGCUCAUUCAAAAAAAGAAAGACAAAAUCGCAUUACAUGUUGUUUAGGAACUAGCUAGCGUCGGCUCAAUGCUAUGUCACAUGUUGCUGUUUAAGAGCUACAGUGGCUAGCUAGUGUUGGCUCAUCUUUUAUGCUAGCAAAGCAACAUUUUCCCGUGAGCUUUGCUAACCUCUGUUUGCAAAAUAGUUCUGCUUAGUGAUCAUAUUGAAAAGAAGACAAAAACUAUUACAUGGUUUUGUAAGAUCUAUGGUCACGAGCUAUGGGUCGUGACCGAAAGAACGAGAUCCCGGAUACAAGCGGCCGAAAUGAGUUUUCUCCGCAGGGUGUCCGGGCUCUCCCUUAGAGAUAAGGUGAGAAUCUCGGUCAUCCGGGAGGGGCACCGAGUCGAGCCGCUUCUCCUCCACAUCGAGAGGAGCCAGAUGAGGUGGCUUGGGCAUUCGGAUGCCUCCUGAACGCCUCCCUGGUGAGGUGUUCCGGGCAUGUCCCACCGGGAGGAGACCCCGAGGAAGACCCAGGACACGCUGGAGAGACUAUGUCACCCAGCUGGCCUGGGAACGCCUCGGGAUCCCCCGGGGAGAGCUGGAAGAAGUAGCUAGGGAGAGGGAAGUCUGGGCUUCCCUGCUAAAGCUGUUGCCCCCGCGACCCGGCCCCGGAUAAACGGUAGAAGA